rnacentral:rRNA from 1 species
AGUGAACGCUGGCGGUAGGCCUAACACAUGCAAGUCGAACGGCAGCACAGUAAGAGCUUGCUCUUACGGGUGGCGAGUGGCGGACGGGUGAGGAAUACAUCGGAACCUACUUUUUCGUGGGGGAUAACGUAGGGAAACUUACGCUAAUACCGCAUACGACCUACGGGUGAAAGCAGGGGAUCUUCGGACCUUGCGCGAUUGAAUGAGCCGAUGUCGGAUUAGCUAGUUGGCGGGGUAAAGGCCCACCAAGGCGACGAUCCGUAACUGGUCUGAGAGGAUGAUCAGCCACACUGGAACUGAGACACGGUCCAGACUCCUACGGGAGGCAGCAGUGGGGAAUAUUGGACAAUGGGCGCAAGCCUGAUCCAGCCAUACCGCGUGGGUGAAGAAGGCCUUCGGGUUGUAAAGCCCUUUUGUUGGGAAAGAAAAGCAGCAGGUUAAUACCCCGCUGUUCUGACGGUACCCAAAGAAUAAGCACCGGCUAACUUCGUG